CGUAGGGUGCGAGCGUUGUCCGGAAUUAUUGGGCGUAAAGGGCUCGUAGGCGGUCUGUCGCGUCGGGAGUGAAAACUCAGGGCUUAACCCUGAGCCUGCUUCCGAUACGGGCAGACUAGAGGUAUGCAGGGGAGAACGGAAUUCCUGGUGUAGCGGUGAAAUGCGCAGAUAUCAGGAGGAACACCAGUGGCGAAGGCGGUUCUCUGGGCAUUACCUGACGCUGAGGAGCGAAAGUGUGGGGAGCGAACAGGAUU
rnacentral:rRNA from 1 species